UACGUAGGUGGCAAGCGUUAUCCGGAUUUAUUGGGCGUAAAGGGAACGCAGGCGGUCUUUUAAGUCUGAUGUGAAAGCCUUCGGCUUAACCGGAGUAGUGCAUUGGAAACUGGGAGACUUGAGUGCAGAAGAGGAGAGUGGAACUCCAUGUGUAGCGGUGAAAUGCGUAGAUAUAUGGAAGAACACCAGUGGCGAAAGCGGCCCUCUGGUUUGUAACUGACGCUGAGGUUCGAAAGCGUGGGUAGCAAACAGG
rnacentral:rRNA from 1 species